AUGGAUAGGAGGGCCCCCGCUCAGCUCCUUGGGCUCCUGCUGCUCUGGCUCCCAGGUGCCAGAUGUGACAUCCAGAUGACCCAGUCUCCAUCCUCCUUGUCUGCAUUUCUAGGAGAGACCAUCACCAGCACUUGCCAGGCUAGUCAGAACAUUGGCAAGCACUUAGCCUGGUAUCAACAGAAACCAGGGAAGGCUCCCAAGCUCCUGAUCUAUGCUGCAUCUAAUUUACAAAGUGGGGUCUCAUCAAGGUUCAGUGGCAGUGGAUCAGGGACAGAUUAU